GCCUUCGUGGUGUAGUAGUCAGCCCACUUGGUGCGUAUUCGAGAGGUCUGUGGUUCAAGUCCAAGCGAGGGCA
rnacentral:tRNA from 1 species